rnacentral:rRNA from 1 species
UACGUAGGGUGCAAGCGUUGUCCGGAAUUAUUGGGCGUAAAGAGCUCGUAGGCGGUUUGUUGCGUCGGCUGUGAAAUCCCGAGGCUCAACCUCGGGUCUGCAGUCGAUACGAGCAAACUAGAGUGUUGCAGGGGAGACUGGAAUUCCUGGUGUAGCGGUGAAAUGCGUAGAUAUCUGGAGGAACACCGGUGGCGAAGGCGGCAUCCUGGACCGAUACUGACACUGAGGAGCGAAAGCCAGGGGAGCAAACGGG